GUCGGUUUAAUGAGGUGGGCGGAGUCUGCGUUAAACGUGCCAUCGCGUUCGCCAAUGAUAAAUAGCUUUGCCGUUGCGCGGCUGUUGUUUAUACCAGCAGAAGCUCAAUGACUCAUGAUGACACAUUGUGAGUAAGCGCAUUUGUGCCCAAAAACAACAAACAACGCGGCUGUUCUCAUUUAGACCCAAUUGAAGCGCUCGUUCCACUGCUUGGUGAUGGAAUGACCUGUUAGACGAAAUCUGUUCAACAUUUACUCCAAGUGUGCAUUCAUAUCUUUUUCAUCUGCUAUAAAUGGAUUUGUUUGCUGUGGAACUACAUAAAUUCCCCUCGAAGUUCAAGUGAAGCAUUGUGGACCUCAGCCCAGAUGUGAUCAACUGGAAAAAAGAAGUGCACCUACUCUGAGCUACAAGGACGACACAAACCUGGCAGAGGCCCCCUGUGCUCCCUCCUGCCCUGCCUUAUGCCCACCUGCGUGCCCAUCUGCAGAAGAGCCCCGCCAGUUGUUCUGUUUGUGUGCCAGGGUGAAUCAAGCCCAUCGGCUCCACUCCCAGGUUUGUGCCGUGCUAAGUUAUGGAAAUGCCAAUUUGUGAGGACCCUGCUGAAAACCAGUUACAGAUGAAGAUCCCCUGUGGGGACAUGCCACAUUUAGCAUCUUUGCACAUCCACGAGUUCCCUGAGCGAUGACGCAUGCCAGGCCUUGUGUGAAAGUCAUGGCUGGAGGGAGAUAAUAAAGAUGAGGCUAAUUAAUGAGACUGGUAAUGGGCAGGAUCUCCACAGUGGAUCAUUCCUGUUUGAGGACCCAGCUGUUCUGAUGGACGAGCAUGCUAAGCUUUGAUACCGAGGAAUGGAAGGAAGGGAUUACUGCCGGAAACAGGACCUUGGCUGCUCCGAGUGCUACUUGACCUUGAGUAAUGUCAUACUUUAUGAACUGUGCCAAAGUGAAACUCUGGUUCACCAACUGCGAUGCCUCUCAAAAUCAGUGUCUGAAGAAAUGAGGAAAUUGAGAAAAAUUAGCCGUAAUUUCUGAAGCUGAAACUUUGAAAAUGUCAUAAAUGGGUGCUUAUUGAAUGUGACAUUGAUUAGCCGAGGGAGCAAUAGAGAAAGAUGAUGGACUGUUUCAUUAAUUAUACAAUUUUAUGACAUUCAGAAUUACACUGAUGUAAUGGUGGAAUGCAUUUGAUUGAAUGGAUAAUGUUUUCUUUUUAUUUUUGAUGGUGGAUUAUAAGUCUUCUAACUAAAUGUACCGUUUUAAUUAUUCGUUUUUAGGUAGAUGCAGAUGGUGGGGUGGGGAGGUUUUAAUUUCUCGUAACAACCAGAGGCACAGUUCUACUGAUGCAUUUUAAUUUUAAGUCAGGCCAUGUACUAUAAUUAAGGCAUAGCUCACCCAGAACUUAAAAUUUUGUCAUUUACAGUUGGUUAAAAAUAUACACAAACUUGAAUGAGAUUUGAGAGCUGAGGCAGAGAAUGUUAUCAGUGAAUGAAUUUCAGCUUAAAAGGUUGGUUCAUUCAAAAAUGAAAAUUUUGUUAUAAUUAUUCACCCUCAUGUCAUUCCAAAAGAAUUUCAUUCUUCAUAUGAAGUGAUUCUGUCUCUUUAGGAGAUGUGGAGUAAACAGCUCAGUUCAUAUGGGUUAGAUUUAUAAUAUUUUUAUGAACAUUUUGAAAGUUUUGGUGGAAUGGACUUUCAAUGUAUGCAGUGAAAUCUCUCAGAUUUAAUCAAAAUAUCUUAAUUUGUGUUUUGAAGAUGAAUGAAAGUCUAAUGGGUUUGGAUCAACAAGUGGGUGAGGAAAUGGUAAUAUUUCAUUUUUAACACUUGAAUUUUACUUUUGUGCUCAGCAGAAGAGAUGCAACUCUAAAUGAGGGUAAAUAACGACUGAAUUGUAUUUUUUCGGUGAACUGUGCCUUUAAUGACAGAAGCGGUUUUGAAUAAGCUGUCAAUUCUAAAAUUAUUGUUUCUGAUUUCUUUGUUUGAAACUAACGGUCAGACUUGUAACAUCACAGGGCUGCUUAAACCACUCCGAUUCGAAGGUUUCCCGCCAUCGCAAGAGUGACCUCCCAUCUGCCGAGUCGUGUCUGAGGGGAACUUGUCUGUCCUUGCUGGGUAACAAAUGACCCUGACACACCAGAGACUCUGUGCUUGCACCUGCUUAACUUUUCUCACCCGUCUGUCUCCCAUCGCGCCAGACUGACAAAGCUCAGGGCCCUGUGGGCUCCAGACGAUUCUUUUCGGACCGAGUGGCGCGCUAGCAGGCGAGAGCGGCUUACUCUGGCUUUGGCAGCAUCUGUCAGCUCUGGGGUUGGUACAGCCCUUGGGGGGAUGAUAGACUUGCUUAUAAAUAACCCUGAAAUGAAUUAAAAGAGAUAAAGAGGCGCCUGUUGCCGAGGAGACGGAGAGCUCUCCAUUUUGGCUGGAGGGCACGACGGGGGUGUCGGGACAGGGCGAUACGGUCGAGAGGGAGCGGGAGGUAUAAUUGAAACAUUGCGCCAUGGCAGAGUGGCCUUUGGUGUGAUUGAUACCGUUUUAGACUACUCCUGUUCGCCCGGGCUCCGGGGGAUUUACCUGAGGCAGAGAAGGGAAGGGAAGGGGGGAUGCUUAGGUGGCUCAUCCGGGUUUGGCAGAAAAUUGGUACAAUCCAUCAAGCACCAGAUUUAACGAACGCUGAAACCGGGCCGCCCGGCAAAGGAUUCUUAUUUAAGGCAGUGAACCAGGAAACGCGCGAGGGGCAUGGACUGGUGUGGGUCUAUCAAUCAGCCAGUCAGCUCCUUUAUUCAACAAGCGAGCGACAGCCCCUGAGGCCAGUGCAUGGGGUUCCGGCUUGUUGGCCUUGCAACACUCUCCCUGAAGGGAAGUGGUGGGAAGUGAAUGCGAAAGAGAGGUGGAGAGAGUUUUGGGGAGGGGGACAAGAAGAGGAGACGCAUCAGGGCUUGGCCGUGUCCCCUGAUGAGCUAGCAUGCUUCAUCUUUCUUGCGCGUGGACCUGGAACUGCGGCUUGAUGGGAUUUUCAGCACUGUGGCCUCCAUGCCUCGCUGGCGAGCGGUCGGGGGGCCUAAGGCCAGACUCUCGAGCUCUGCGGCAAAGCGCUGAUGCCCUCUCUGAGUCUCGGACUCCCUUAACACUGCGCCACCUUUGCCUGAACUUGCAGAAGAAAAUCCAGAGCACAGGAUUUAAUAGCUCUGCAAGAGUGAGAAAUGAAAUGCAACUUCACAUUUUCAGCGGUUGUAGAAUGCAAAAGCAUGGCUGAAACCCAGGGGCUCAAACUCAAAUUACCUGAUGUUUUCAAGUUCCUCGCAGAUCAGACAGGUAGCAAUUGCAGGAAGCGACCAGUCAUCAGAAACUGGUUUUAGGUUCUGGAUGGUGUUGGUGGAACUCGUACAUUCUGGAGGAUGAAUUGCAGAGCGACGCUAAGAGGACACCUGCAUGCCUUGUGGCACGGGGCAGAAAAUGGACCUGUUCUAUUUUCUUCCCUCCCUUUGUCCCUGGAUCCCUCCUCUUUCUUCAUUCCCUGAGAAGAUGCUGCUCCUCUCGACCUGCUACGGCUGGGAAAAAACCCCACCUCCCAAUCAUCUCUUCUACAGGAGGGCGUCAAGUCCCUCUGGUGUUUUACCCAGAGUUCAAUAACCCACUCCACCCUCAAUCAAGAGUGAGAAAAGAGGACAACAAUAAGGAGAAGCUGAGGACACUCAACAGGCAUGUAGAAGGUAAACGCCAAUGGGUGGGAUUCGCAUGCUGAUGGAAUGACGGUUGUCAGGCGGAUUAAAACUAAAGAUGAACCAUGUGGGAGUUUCCUCCAAAGAGCCUGUGGAUAAAUCUCAUUAGCAUACCUGCUCCGUGGACAGCUGUAAAUUUAACGAAUGACGUGCUGGAGAGGAUGAGGUCAUCUGAAGAGUUUGGGACUGUUUGCAUCUUUAUUGUGCCAGCAGCAAAUCAGCAUUGCUGGUUCGAGCUCAGCUUGGAAUGAUCCGGCGGGAUUGUCCUUGUCUGUUAAAUGACUGCUUACUUUCAUCAAAAGCUGAUGAGACUGUUCAUAUGACUUCAGAACACCUAUGGGGAAAUAUAGGGUUUGUGUCUUGUGGACCAGUUUUAUGAUCCUUCUCUAUAGUGCUUCUGCAUCGUCUUUGAAGUGUGAGAGCCUCAGCUCCAGUGGAGACUAAUUGCACAGAGAAGCGCAGUAAAGCUCUUUGAAAAAAUCAUACAGGUUUGGAGCGUCAUGCGGGUGAGUAAAUGAUGACACAGUUUUCAUUUUUGCGUAAACUAUUCCUUUUAAAUCCACCUCGGAUCUCACCGUGAAUGAAUUUCACUGUGUGAUUUCAUCAGGGAUGCAGGCCUGCUGCUGUUCUCUCCCUUUUCACUCUCACUGAAGCCCCAGACAGAAGCUCCCUGGAGACUUUCGCUUCCUGUUUAAACCUGACACAAAUUCCAUGUCACAAUGCCCAGAGUGACGGCGCUUGCAGGCACAAAAGCAAAUAUUUCCGUUCCUGGUCGUACCCAACCCCCUCUACACGUCCCCACCGACACCUGAACCCUCCCUUUCCUCACCAGUUCCAGCACUGCAAGCCAGCCAUUUGUCACAAAUUUUUUGGUGCAAUGAGCUGAAUCACCCUCUGUCAGACCUUCUGAGGACGGAUGGAAGAGGACUUCUGGAUGCUGGUGGGCUGGGUUCAUCUCCGAAACUGAGAGGAUAUGAAGCAGUGGAGCUGGUUUUGUUCCAGUCGGGUCAGGUCCCAGGUGUGUCGCCCCCUCAUCUGUCUACUCCUCUCUUCCUCCUCGUUUUCCUCCUCCAUUCCACCAAAGGCCUCAUUUUCUGCAUGAUUAGGCCUCCACCUGUCCUGCUCUUGGCCCCUGGCCCUCGCCUGGGCUCCAACACACCGUCAAUUAACACCAGCUAGUUUUUAGCUGAGUCACACCAAAAUGAAACUGAAAAGGGAGAAUAAAAUUCAAAUAUGAAGUUGAAAGACUGGUAGAAGAAUAAUGCAUUCAUUUAGUUAUACAUGUGAUUUUUGUGUGGCUUUAUUGAACUCUUCUCUUUAGCAGCAAACAUGGUGGCUUUCUAAACAUAAAUUGUGUUAUUUGCAAGUAAACAUGCAUUUGGUAAUUAUUUUUUUCAGUUCCAUCUCUGAUUAAUUUGAUAUUGAAACCUGUCCAUGUAAUGCAUAAUAACCCUCAUAUUGCCAAAAUAUCAUUUAGGCAUCUUUUGGCCCGCAACCAAAUUACUAGAGAAUGAAAGGACCUGUGCCAGGCCUUUAAUUUCACCCCUGUAAAAUGAACCAAUGAGCCAAAUAAUCUGGCUGGCCCUCAUUGUUGCAAAUGUGACACCUGUUGUAAGUGGCACGACUUAGAAGUGCCAAAACACUUUUGUUGAUUCGCUUAGUCUUAUCAUUCUGAUUUGUUGCGGUAAACAAGCAACCAGAUAAAUGAGAACAACAGUACCCUUUUUUUAAGCAAAGACAGAUGGUCUUGUCAAAGUUACACUUGUUUGUCAAAGAAGCUAAGAGAACUAGUGUUAUCAGGUUACUGAAAUGAUAAGAGAUUGCAAAUUUAUUGAUAUGUCAUAUUUAACAUUCUAAGUCUUCAAAAGUUUUGUGGGAGGGAGAGAGCAAAAUGUGAGUCAAAUACAAAACUUGAGUAACAUUUGCAUUGGAAAAAGGUUGCGUUUUAUUGUAUGACACUUGAGGACCAGGCGUUGACAUUUCCAGUAGUGACUUUAAUUUCUUGACAUGAAGCUAUUUUAUUGCUUUAAAAGACAACAAAUACAGUGCAUAAGUUGUAUGGUUAUAGGGUUUUAUUUUUCUUCUUUUUGGAGUUUGACAGAAGAACAUUCGGCCUAAGAAGUCCUUUUGUGUUCAAUGGAUUUAGGACAACAUGAGGGUGAGUAAAUAAUGACAGAAUUUUGUGAACUAGUCCAAAAUAAAGGUUGAAGAUGAGGUUAGAAAAAGUUUGGGAUAGUUUAAGGAGAUAAUUAAUAACUAAUUAGUGAGUGAAAUUACUUUAAGAUGAAUUAGAUGCUAUUUAAACCAUUUAAUUAAAGUGUUUUGCGAAUCAGUAAAAGGCGGGGCCACCGACAUCAAUUGUCUUCUAUCUACUCAAAGAGUUUCUCUCAAAGGAAGUUCCACCUGUCAGUGAAGUAAAUUAAAUGCUACUUAUCUGCGUUGUUGCCUUGAAAGCUGUUUAUCUUUCGUCUGCAAUUCCAAUCAGCUCGGUUUGUCUUGCUUAUCGUCAAAAUUAAACAUGCACAGAAAUAUUAAAAGGUCAUUUGCCUUAAUGAAGCCAUAAAUAAUUAAGCUCACUUAUAAUGCGAAUGGCGAAAAGAAGAUUAGAAGUGAUUUUAACACGAGAUAAGAGCAAGAAAACAAAUUCAUCAAAGAUGAAAUCCCAACUUGGCCCAACACUAAAGUUCACCUCUGUUUAUGCCUGUUAUUGUCCAUUAAUGAGCAAAAUGCAUGUUAUGUAACUGUCAUUAGAAUUCAACAUAAUCUUUGUCAUUAUUGUUAUAGUCUUAAACAUACAAUACGUUUAUGUAACCUUUUCACCAGCCACCAACGGAGGGCGAUGUUUCCCAUGAAAUGCAAUGCAAUGAGGCUAAAUGGAAAGAAUAAAUCAAUAAAGUUGUUUCCCCUGCUCAUAAACUGCUUCCAUAUUACCAUACCUUCAUAAAAUGUACUCAAAUUGUUGAUGAAUUCCAUAUUUCGUGACUGUUGAUGAUGUAUGUUCUGUAUUUAUGGAGGUGUGAAGCAUAAAUAGGUUCUCGUGUUGACCUGCAUUUUUUUUUUUUAGCCAUGAUGUAUAACAACAACCAUGAAAUAAUGUAUUGUAUGAUAUCAUUAAACAACUUCAG